rnacentral:lncRNA from 1 species
UCGGGAAACAGAGAACGAAGAUAACUCUUUGUAACUAAUACUGAUAUUGGAGUCAUCUUGUUAUGAAUUAGCUCAAACUGCAUAUAGAAUGCCUCAAAAGUGCAGCAUAUAAUAUUGAAACUUGAUAAUCAUGUUCCAGGGAGGCAUCUGUGUGUUAAAGCUUGAAUAUAAUUCAUGCAUAAGAGCUGAUUCCAUUUGAAAUUGUAAUCAUUACUAUGACAACCUUAUGAUCUUUGAUUACACAUGAAGUAUGAAACUAGACUGAAAAUCUUACAGUUUUGGAGUCCCCAAAGUCUCCAAUGGCACUGCUAGCAAUAGAGUACAACCUAAGCUUGUGAGGUUUCCCAUUCUUGUCUUCGCCAUCCGCGAUAAUUCCAAUGGACUGCCCUUCCUUGUAGGGUAUCUCACCUAUCAUACAAAAUUUUAACUGAUUACUACUUAAACGUAAAUCAAAAUCACAGAUAUCAGGUAAAUAUACAUAUCAGGCACUGUAGCAUCAGCCCCUGCUCUUGAUAGAAGAGAAAAGGGGCGUCACUGAAUGCCUGACUUGUAAGAAGCCCAUGUGAUUAGACGCACCUUCAGUGCUGAAGACCAUAUGCCAAGUCUCACCAGGAGCAUCAUCCCCGGUGAUCUUAGUGUUGAGAAGGCAUUUACCGACAUAAGGUUCCUUAGGCCUGUAUUUAUUAGUAACUAUAUCUUUAUCCACUUUCUUCGAAACCUUCUCAACUUUAGCUGGAGCCUCUGUUGUCACCUGAGCUCUA